CAUGUAGGCGGGAAUCUAAGUCUGUUGUGAAAAUGCGGGGCUCAACCCCGUAUGGCGAUGGAAACUGGAUUUCUUGAGUGCAGGAGAGGAAAGGGGAAUUCCCAGUGUAGCGGUGAAAUGCGUAGAUAUUGGGAGGAACACCAGUGGCGAAGGCGCCUUUCUGGACUGUGUCUGACGCUGAGAUGCGAAAGCCAGGGUAGCGAACG
rnacentral:rRNA from 1 species